AGGUCAUAGUGGAGAAUUCGGACUUCACUCCCACCCAGGUGGGCUGUCUCUUCACCUUCCUCGCCAGGCAGCUCGCCAAGCCCGACAACACUCUUUGUGAACAGGAAGCUCUUUUACCAGGUCCUUGAAUUUCUCUGUAGUCCUGAUGAUGACUCCAGACAUACAGAAAGACAGAAGUAACAACGCCACUGUCAGGCAGGAGAUGGCGUUGUUUUAGGGCUAGCAUUAUGCAUACCGUUAGCACUGGUGAUAACAGGGUGGCCCAUAGUCAACUUACAUGAGAAACACCUGCCAACGGAGCGUCAUCUGUCAGUCUGCCAGAUCUGCAGUCUGCUGUCCUACUGUGACUGAAAUCAACAUGCAACAGGGAGAUGCAGCUUUUACAUAUAUAGUGGAGAAGAUACAUCAGCUACCAGAUCUGUGCGUUCAUGUACGAGAAAAAGCACUUGUAUGACAAAAUCAUCUACUGCUAUUUGAAAGAUCCCUUAAGAAAGGUACGGUAGGCAAUGUUUUACUGUAUCUGUGUUUUUCAUACUGGUAUACAUUCUCUCAGCCUCCCACAAACGAACCGACUGAAAAACAAAGUAGUUGGCCAUAUUGUCCGCUGACAGCAAAUUCUUUGUAUUUUUACAAAAUCGUAGUUUUGACCUAUUGUGUGAGCAUGUUCUACAGCUGGUUUCACAGAUGCAUUAGGACUAACCUCUGGACUUCCUAAUGUUACCUGAUGGUACCAUAGACCUAGAUGAGUGCUAAUCAGAGUCUGUGAAACCAGCAUAGAGUGUCGAAACAUAAACCAGCCUUCAGAUAUGUCAUAUCUUUUCCUCAGCCAGCAAUUAUUAUUCUAUGUGGAGCAUCAGGCUUUAGUGUGAUCGUCUGCUAUUGAAAGCAGUGUAAUUGUCUUUUUGUUUUAAGGAUUUUCUGAAAUGCUUCAGAUUACUAGCAGUACCAAAUAUCAAUUCACAAAAUGCACACAAAUGUACUGAAGUCAGUCCAUUCUGGGGCUUUAGAGAUAAUCCUACAGUAGAAAGGACCUGCUACGAAAAUCUCCUGCUAAAAAUAGGGAUAAUACCAUGUGCUGUGCUUUUCACGAGAAUUCAUCUUCACUAAAA